GAUGAAGAACGUAGCGAAAUGCGAUACUUGGUGUGAAUUGCAGAAUCCCGUGAACCAUCGAGUCUUUGAACGCAAGUUGCGCCCGAAGCCAUUAGGCCGAGGGCACGCCUGCCUGGGCGUCACACGUCGUUGCCCCCCCAUCUACUCCUUCGGGAUUGCGGGGGGCGGAUGAUGGCCUCCCGUGCGCCUCGCCGCGCGGUUGGCAUAAAUGCCAAGUCCUCGGCGACGCACGCCACGACAAUCGGUGGUUGCGAAACCUCGGUUGCCCGUCGUGUGCGGUCGUCGCGCAUCGAGGGCUCGAAAAAAUUGCCGGGUUCCGGCUCGGCUUUCAACGCGACCCCAGGUCAGGCGGGGUUACCCGCUGAAUUUGAGCAUAUCAAUAAGCGGAGGA
rnacentral:misc_RNA from 1 species